rnacentral:rRNA from 1 species
UGGGGAAUAUUGCACAAUGGGCGCAAGCCUGAUGCAGCCAUGCCGCGUGUAUGAAGAAGGCCUUCGGGUUGUAAAGUACUUUCAGUCGGGAGGAAGGUGGUAAGGUUAAUAACCUUAUCAAUUGACGUUACCGACAGAAGAAGCACCGGCUAACUCCGUGCCAGCAGCCGCGGUAAUACGGAGGGUGCAAGCGUUAAUCGGAAUUACUGGGCGUAAAGCGCACGCAGGCGGUUGAUUGAGUCAGAUGUGAAAUCCCCGGGCUUAACCCGGGAAUUGCAUCUGAUACUGGUCAGCUAGAGUCUUGUAGAGGGGGGUAGAAUUCCAUGUGUAGCGGUGAAAUGCGUAGAGAUGUGGAGGAAUACCGGUGGCGAAGGCGGCCCCCUGGACAAAGACUGACGCUCAGGUGCGAAGGCGUGGGGAGCAAACAGG